CGCCCUUAGAGUUUGAUCAUGGCUCAGAUUGAACGCUGGCGGCAGGCCUAACACAUGCAAGUCGAACGGUAAGAGAGCUUGCUCUUGACGAGUGGCGGACGGGUGAGUAAUGUCUGGGAAACUGCCCGAUGGAGGGGGAUAACUACUGGAAACGGUAGCUAAUACCGCAUAACGUCUUCGGACCAAAGUGGUUCGUCACACCAUCGGAUGUGCCCAGAGGGGAUUAGCUA
rnacentral:rRNA from 1 species